rnacentral:rRNA from 1 species
ACGGAAGGCAGCAGUGGGGAAUAUUGGGCAAUGGGCGAAAGCCUGACCCAGCAACGCCGCGUGAAGGAAGAAGGUCUUCGGAUUGUAAACUUCUUUUAUGAGGGACGAAGGACGUGACGGUACCUCAUGAAUAAGCCACGGCUAACUACGUGCCAGCAGCCGCGGUAAUACGUAGGUGGCAAGCGUUAUCCGGAUUUACUGGGUGUAAAGGGCGCGUAGGCGGGAAGGCACGUCAGAUGUGAAAUCCGUGGGCUCAACCCAUGAACUGCAUUUGAAACUGUUUUUCUUGAGUGCUGGAGAGGUAGACGGAAUUCCUUGUGUAGCGGUGAAAUGCGUAGAUAUAAGGAAGAACACCAGUGGCGAAGGCGGUCUACUGGACAGUAACUGACGCUGAGGCGCGAAAGCGUGGGGAGCAAACAGGAUUAGAUACCCUGGUA